rnacentral:lncRNA from 1 species
AGGCAUGAGAGCUUGAAUGUAAUCAAGAUCAAUACAAGCAAAGGAAACAGCAUUGAUCGAGAAUUUUCAUCCUUGAGGGAACCUUUCCUUAAUCGGGAAAUCAUUAUUCCUCUCAAAUUCAAGAAAAAGAAAAACAUUCCACCACCAUUUUCACCACUAGGUGCAUUUCUUGAUGCUGAUGAUGACAACGAUGAAGAUACUAACAAAGGCUCAAAUGAGAGAGAGAGCUGUGAGAAUGUGAAGAGAGUAGAGUGAAAGUGAAGGGCUGCAAUGGCAGCAGCCUUGCUGCCAUUGCAGCAGCUGCAAGUGCAGCAAAAGAGCUGGGAGUUGAGUUUGAGUGAAGUGAUCCUCCUCCUCCAUGUAUGUUGUAAUCCUUUCUCUAUAUAUCUCUAAUAAUAUGGACUCUCCCGUGGAUGUAGGCGGUUUUGCCGAACCACGUAAAAUAUUGUGUCUCGGUGUGCUUUACCUCCGUUGAGCAAGUAUCAGUACACCCCCGGUCCGCGCAUGGGGGAGCCGGAAUCCCCAACAAGCUUGAAUGUAAUCAAGAUCAAUACAAGCGAAGGAAACAGCAUUGAUCAAGAAUUUUCAUCCUUGAGGGAACCUUUCCUUAAUCGGGAAAUCAUUAUUCCUCUCAAAUUCAAGAAAAAGAAAAACAUUCCACCACCAUUUUCACCACUAGGUGCAUUUCUUGAUGCUGAUGAUGACAACGAUGAAGAUACUAACAAAGGCUCAAAUCGUUGGAUGAUCAAGCCUGCAAGAAAUAAACCGGACGGCUACGAGAAACAAAACUUGAAACAAUCUUCACGUUUCAAGAGGCGCAGUAGCUUGAGUCGUGCUAGCAUAUGUGGAGGGAUCGCAUGUCCUUUUCCGUUCUUUUGUCGAAACAACUCUGAUGUAUACGUACCAAAUGUGAAGGGAAUACCAUUGUCAUCAAAAAGGUUCUCACAGUCGUAAGAUGAAUUCACAGAACUGGAAUAAGUUGCGGCUUUCUCCUCCAUACAGCUGGUAGAUCAUUUAAUGUGAUGAAUCAUUUGAAGAAGAAACGAAUUCUCAUUUCCACCUUCUUCUAUUACUUUAUAUUUCAUUUCAUUACAAUUUACUAUACAUGUAACAAUCAAUAUUCAUCUUAUGGGACUGGUAUUCCGUUUAAUUAUCAUGUUACAGUACAUUGUCAAGGCUCGAUGUGUUUCAAUUCUAGAAAAUAAGACCAACGUUUCUGUAAACAGGAGUAGUUCUUCUUCGUUUUCUUUUUUGGUUAUGUGUGCAAAGGUGUCUCCAAAUCAU